UACGUAGGGGGCAAGCGUUGUCCGGAUUUAUUGGGCGUAAAGAGCGUGUAGGCGGCCAUACAGGUCCGUUGUGAAAACUGGAGGCUUAACCUCCAGACGUCGAUGGAAACCGUAUGGCUAGAGUCCGGAAGAGGAGAGUGGAAUUCCUGGUGUAGCGGUGAAAUGCGCAGAUAUCAGGAAGAACACCUAUGGCGAAGGCAGCUCUCUGGGACGGUACUGACGCUGAGGUGCGAAAGCGUGGGGAGCAAACAGG
rnacentral:rRNA from 1 species